rnacentral:rRNA from 1 species
AUGUUCGUCAAGAAGCUCGUGGAGAAGGCCUCCAAGAAGCAACACAGCGGCGGCACCGGCGGGCUGCGGGCCGAGGACGUGAGCCCGCGGCUGGCCUUCCACUACGGCGUCCCCGCCGACGCCGCCCUCCUCGCCUACGACCCGCUCCUCCACGUCCUCGCCGUCGCCACCAGGAAUGGGCAGAUCAAGCUGUUCGGCCGCGACAACACGCAGGCGCUGCUCCAGUCCCCCUCCCCUAUCCCCUCCAAGUUCUUGCAGUUCGCCGAUGGCCAAGGGAUUCUCCUGAACGUCAACACUCAGAACCAGAUCGAGGUCUGGGACAUCGACACCAAGAGGCUGUGUUAUCUGCAUCCCUUUGAGAAGCAAAUAACCGCGUUUACAGUACUGCAGAAGAGUUUCUACAUAUAUGCAGGAGAUAGUUUUGGAAAUGUGUCCUUGUUCAAGCUUGACUUGGGCCAGCGGUGUCUAGUUGACCUGCCGUAUUGCAUUCCUUUUGCUGAGUCCUAUGGUUCCACGGCAAAUGGUGGUAAUGGGGUAGAAGUCGCAUUUGUAUCGCCGCAGCCUUUGGCUGAAUCUAACAGGUUGCUCAUUAUAUUCAGAGAUGGUGUCAUGACCUUAUGGGAUAUUAAGGCAAGCAGAGUGGUAUUCGUAUCCGGUAGAACUACGCAACAACAAUUGCACCAGGAGGAGAAAAAUGUGACAUCGUCAUGCUGGGCUUGUUCCAAGGGAAGCAAAGUUGCUAUUGGAUAUGACAGUGGUGAUAUCUACCUUUGGGCUAUUCCUGAUAUUUUCAGUGCAGAAAAUUCUUCAUCUUUGAGUAAUCAGAAUCUACCACUUCAGAGGCUUAACCUUGGAUACAAGCUAGACAAGGUGCCAAUAAUCUCUUUGAGAUGGGUUCCUAGUGAUGGAAAGUCUGGACGUUUGUAUAUUAAUGGAUUCAGCGAACAUGCAUACCUAUAUCAGGUCCUGAUUCUGAAUGAAGAGAGUGAAUCUCGAAUAGUAAAGAUGGUAUUGCCCCUCACAGAAGCUUGUCAAGGAAUGGAGUUUGUUACAGGCCUUAGCGACCCAAAUAAGCAAAGACAGACUGUUCUUGUUCUCUUGUUGAAAUCUGGUCAAAUCUGUUUAUACGAUGAUUCAGAAAUUGAGCGCUACCUUCUUCAAUCUCAGUCUAGAUCACCACCAACACUUCCAAGCCACUCAUUUGUGAAACAACCGUAUGGUGAUUCGGGCAUCAACGUUGCAAAGUUCUACACAAGUGACCGUACAGCAACAGCUAAUGAGGAUUAUUUUUCAACAUUGGCCUCCAAAUAUCCAUGGCUGCUUUCACUGAAGGAUAAAGGUCAGAUAUCCGCAAGUCUUAGCAACAUCCAUAAAACCAGGAAUCUUUAUAUAACUGGGCAUAUGGAUGGAACCAUAAGCUUUUGGGAUGCAUCAUGUCCUCUUCUGCUGCAGAUUUUUAUGAUAAAGCAGCAGCAUGAAGAUAAUACAUCAAGUCGAGCCCGUAUUACUUCAUUGCAGUUUGAUACGUCCUCCAGUAUUCUUAUAUCUGGGGAUCAGGGUGGAACAGUCCGCGUAAUCACAUUCAAAAAGGACUCUAGCGACAAUAUAUUAUCCAUUUUACAAGGAAAGCAAGGGGAUAACUACGAUGCAAGAAGUAUAAAGCUCAAGGGAGCUGUAACCUCAACCUCUAUGAUCUCUAACUCGAAGCAUUUUGCUGUUGGGACAGAAAAAGGAAUUGUAUCAGUUAUCAAAGUAGAUGAUGCUACUAUAUUGUAUCAAAAACAGCUUGAGUGUCGUGUCUCUGGUGGAAUUGCCUCCUUGCAAUUUGAACUCUACAGCCACAAUGGGUACGAUAAGGAUCUUCUGAUGGUAGGAAUGGAAGAUUCUUCUAUUUGUAUUCUCGAGGAAGAAACUGGAAAACUUUUGAAUGCCAACCCAGUUCAGACAAACAGACCCACAAGAGCCCUUCUGCUGCAGACAUUGGAGUUAUCUCCAAACGAAGCACCAGGAUCUGAUAACCAUGAUACAGCAUUGAAGGAAUCUUUGCUGUUGCUUUGCACAGAAGAUGCAAUCCGCUUAUUUUCCUUGAGCCAUGCGAUUCAGGGAAUGAAGAAGAUAACUAAUAAGAAAAAGUUAAAUGGUAGCUGUUGUUUUGCAUCUGUUAUCCAUGGUGCUUCUUCUGAAAUUGGAAUUGUACUAGUCUUCUCCAACGGAAAAGUAGAAACAAGGUCCCUCCCAGAUUUAUCCUUGUUGAAGGAAGCCUCUUUACGAGGUUUUGUACAUUCAAAAAACUUGAAUUCCUCUAGUUCCAUAACAUGUUCAUCUGAUGGAGAAAUCAUCUUGAUUAAGGGAGAGGAGACAUAUUUUUUUUCUACUCUCUGUCAAGAUGACAUCUACAGGCAUGUAGACAAUAUUAAUAUGGUAUACAGAAAAGACCGCCCUCUCAGGGAAGAAUCUUCCUAUGUGGUUAAGUCUCCCAAAGAAAAGAAAAAGGGCUUAUUUGGGAUGAUUAUGAAAGACACUAAAGGGAGCAAGACAAACGAGAGUGAUACAAAUGGCAAUGGACAAUUCAUCGCAACAACAUCUGAAGAACUGGCCUCAAUAUUUUCAUCAGCGAACUUCACUCCACCAUCUGCAAGGAGGAGCAGUUCACUGAAAGAUGAUGAAAAUAUUGAGUUAGACAUAGAUGAUAUCGACAUUGAAGACAACACACAUAAGCAGAAAGGACCGCACUUCGCAGGUCUAAGCAAACAGAAAUUCAGCAAGGGACUCCAGGCUCUUAGAGGAAAACUGAAGCCCAGAACAGAAGAAAAGGUGAAUGCAGAAAAUAAGAAGCCUGAAGAUGAACCAUCAGUUAGACAAGUUGACCAGAUAAAGAUGAAGUAUGGAUAUGCAACAAGUGAUGACUCAACCAGUGUUCCAAAAAUGAUUGGAAACAAGCUGCAAGAGAACAUAAAAAAAUUGGAGGGCAUUAAUCUUCAGUCCGCAGACAUGGCUCAUGGUGCUCAAUCCUUCUCGUCAAUGGCGAAAGAGCUGCUCCGAACCACGAAAAACGAGAAGAGCUCAUCAUAG